rnacentral:lncRNA from 1 species
CAACCAACAAUUAUCAUAAUCUUCCAACCACUAAACUACUUAAAACAUAACGAAAGUAUAUAUUUACCUCUUGGUUGUUAUACUCUUGCUCAAAUUCUUGAUUUCAAUCUUUCUCAAUUAAAUUGACAGCUUUAGAUUGAAGGAAGGAACUGCUCUAAAUCUUCUCCUUCUAUAAAAGACCCAAAUUUUUAUUUAAAAAACUUUUGUAUUUUCUUUUCACUUGCAAAUGGGUGGAAUGAAAAUUAAACUGAUGAAGAAUGAGGAAUGAGGAGAUAACUGAUUCAUAUUUGAUUAACUAAUUGUUAUUGGAAGAAGAAAGGUCUGA